rnacentral:lncRNA from 1 species
UUUUUUUUUUUUUUUUUGCUCUGUUUUUUUUUUUUUUUCGAGACAGGGUUUCUCUAUAUAGCCCUGGCUGUCUGGAACUCACUUUGCAGACUAGGUUGGUGGCAUGCAUUUGUAACUGCAGUUCUGAGGAAGUUGAAACUGGGAUGCUUAAUGCUUGCUGGCCAGACAGCUUAGUUUGCAAGGUUACCUUACCAGUGAUAGACCUUUCCUUAGAGGAGGUAUGCAGUCUUUCUAAAGUUUAUAAGCAAUGUUGUCAUCUACAUCUACUUCCACAUGCAGGUACACAAACCCACAGUACGUAUACACAUGCUUGUAAAAAGGUACAUGACAUAUGACACACCUACUCUAAUAGUGAGACAGACAGCUGGAAAGGGACAAAGUAGUUCUUAUUCACCUAAUUAUCACUUUCUGUAGUUCUACUUACCCAUGUUCCCCUAUGAUGAAUAAAAUAUUAUCCAUGAUCCACAGUGAUCAAUGAAGUUCAAUAAAAGUGGUAAUAUGUGUGCACAUAUACCAAAGUGAGAGGGGGGAGGAGAAAGAGGAGACAAAGAAAGAGAGAAAGAACAAGAAAACCUAUACAUAUGACCUUUAUUAUAGUAUUGUUAUAAUUGUUUUUUUAUUACUGUUGAAUUUCAUUGUUAAUGUACUUCUAUAUCUUUAUUUAUUUACAUUAAAAUUUCAUCUUAGAGAGAUGUGCAGAAGAAAAACAGCAUCCAUUUGGUAUUUGUUCACAGUUUGAGGGUAUUUGAGGGUAUUAGAAUGCAUUCAUUAUGAGAACUGAAUUUGAACAAUUUUUCUAGCAACCUUAAGAUCCACAAAAAAACUUCUGAAGGAUGGGUGAAGACUAAGGAAUCCAACAAAAAUCUGGAUCAGGCUACUUGUUGACUGGUAUGUGCUCAGUAAGUUAUGCCCUGUCCUGAGAUGGUGACUCACUGAAGGAGGAAAACCAAGAUGCAGAGGAUAGCCAGGCUGGAAACAGACUGAUGGUGAUGCACUUACGGCUGCUCAAGUUAGAAGAAAUUAAAGUCAGUAGUCUCCCACAGAAAUAAUUAUUAAACAUAAAAUAUUGCUUGUUUCAAAUACAGAAAUAAAAACCUCGAAAGG